CCUCUCAGCAGCCAACACACCGACACACUGUUGAGAUGUAGUCUGAAUUUUUGCUGACUGCGCAUCAAAAUAUGGUUCAAAAAUGAAACAAAUUUACCCCUGAGGAAGCCGAAAGUGGAAGAGGAACAAGAACGAGAGAGAGAAGAAACAACAAAAGACCGCACGGCUGUGAUGAUGAGGAUAAUGAGCGUCACCACGGCGAUUGGCGCCAACACUGCGGCGAUGAUCCAAAGAUAUCCCCCAUCCUUCCCUAUCCCUGUGGACGAGUCCAUCAUACCUGGACAGUGUAGCUGCCUACAGCAGUCGCUCGUCUGAAUCGAGUGCCUUGCUGGCCUGCCAACACAAACAACUCUGCAAGUCGCUGCUCCAUCAAACUGGCAAAGCUUUGGUGCAGUCCCUCCAGGCUGUCGUUAUCCACAUCCUG